AGUGAAUAGAUACCCGGGUAGUCCCAGCUGUAAACGAUGCGCGUUAGGUGUAUCGGUGACCACGAGUCACCGAGGUGCCGAAAGGGAAACCGUGAAACGUGCCGCCUGGGAAGUACGGUCGCAAGGCUGAAACUUAAAGGAAUUGGCGGGGGAGCACCACAACAGGUGGAGCCUGCGGUUUAAAUCGGACUCAACGCCGGGAAGCUCACCGGAUAAGACAGCUGAAUGAUAGCCGGGUUGAAGACUCUGCUUGACUAGCUGAGAGGAGGUGCAUGGCCGUCGUCAGUUCGUACUGUGAAGCAUCCUGUUAAGUCAGGCAACGAGCGAGACCCACGCCAACAGUUGCCAGCAUGUCCUCCGGGAUGGUGGGGACACUGUUGGGACCGCCUCUGCUAAAGAGGAGGAAGGAAUGGGCAACGGUAGGUCAGCAUGCCCCGAAUUAUCCGGGUUACACGCGGGCUACAAUGGUCAGGACAAUGGGUAUCAACACCGAAAGGUG
rnacentral:rRNA from 1 species